UUAGCAUCGAUAUCUUGAUGUUAAGGCAUCGAUGGUCAAAAUAAUUGGUUUCAAAUAGGACAUAGGACAAGCUCUUAACGUUAGGAUGUCACUGGGAGAGUUGAUUUGGCCAGUUGAUCCAAUUUUUCAGUGGAAAACCAUCAACAUCAUAACACACAGUGAAUGAUAAAUAAGUCACUUAUAAGAAUCGACUGAAAGAACUGACUUGAUUUGGGCGUUUUGUUGAUUUUUAAGUGAGCAACUAAAGUAGUCAAUUACUCAUUAAAAAAUGGACUCUCAACAAUAGACUGUCACUAAGAAAGGUAAUUUGGCCACUUGAUUUAAUUUUUACCAUCAACAUUCUAACACAUAGUGAAUAAUGAGUAACUCAAUAAAGUCCAUAUUAUCAAUUAAAAUAAAAUUAAUUUUCAAUGUUAGAACGUCACUGGAACAGUUGAUAUUUUCUUGAUUUUUAAACGAGAAACCAUUGAUGUCAGAGCAAAUAAAUUAACCAGAAAAAGUAAAUUAUUCAUUAAAACAAAACUGAUUAUCAAGGUUAUGAUGUCACUGAGAGGGCUUUCUUGAUUUUUUAAAUGAAAGAUCAUUGACGUUCUACCAAUAGAAUGUUACUCAACACAAUAAAUUAUUAAUGCAUUUUAUAGUAAAAUAAUUCUUUGAUGUUAGGUACAAAGGUCUUAAGUCACUUUUUGACGAAAUCCCGAAAAAUGUUGGCCUUAAGUCAAAAUUUUUUGCUCGUUCUGGUGAUAUUAGAGACUUAAGUCGUACCGUUUUUAUUUAGGCCCCAUAAAUUGGUACAAAAGACUUAAGUAAAAAAAAAUUUCUGGUCUGGUAAUAGAGUCUUAAGUUUACAUAAGACCUUCGUACCAAAACAUUGUAAAAGGAAAGUAGUGUCAUACACUGACUUAAGACUUUCGUAUCAAUUUAUCAUUAUUAUGUAUGUGGAACACGUGGUUAGAAGUUUAUGUGUAGUCGUUGUUUGUUUAUCGUAGAAAAUCGUUGAGUUAACGUGAGUGCAAGAAGUAAAUUGAAAUUGGCAAAUGUGAAGAAACAGUUAUUUCACACUCCCAUACACCGGAUGGAUAAUGAUCACGAAGAAAUGCCUAAUACUGAUCACCCAAGUCACAAAAUUUUAAUGCAAAUAUUUGAAAAAUCCAACAGGAUUUUUCAAAUAUUUUGGACUUUGAUGAGAAUUUUUUGGGUGAAAAUUAUAUACAGCAAGUAAUAAAGGUGAAUGCUUUUAAAACGUUAUCGGCGAUACAAUAAAUAAAAGUUUAGCUGUGUCGCUAACAGAAGAUCAGAUCCCAGAUAUAGGGUCUGUAACACCAUCGCCAGCCCCUUCACUGACGGCAGAUUUGACAGCUAUCUUAAAUUCAGAUGACAGUUAUGCAGAUAAGGACUAUUUACCUGGACAAUCUGAAAGUGAAAGCAGUAACGACAACAUUGAUUUAUUGUCCAUUCAGAAAAAAAUAAGUCGUUCAGAGGCUAAUAUUUCCUCCCAAAAAUCACAAGAAAAAUUGAACAUAACUGAUCAAGCUGGACCUAGUGCUUCCUCAACAAUAAUUAGAGCAGAAAAGGCAAAAGUUCAUAUAGAUAAACCCUUAAAAAAGUGGUCCCGAGUUGUAAGAAAAGAGAGAACUGAAAAAAUUAAUUCUGGACAAAGUUACGUGAAUAUAAGCGGUAAAAUGGUAAAUGCAAGACAUAUGAAGCCUUUAAAAGAUUGUAGAAAAAAAUGCUCACAAACAUUAAAUGAAGACGUUCGAAAAAAAUUUUUGAUGAAUAUUAGUCCUUAGGAUCCCAUAGCAAAACAGUAACAUUUAUUGCAAAUCUAAUUAAUUCGAAAGAUACCCAAGUAAGUCGUAAAUGAAAACGCGACUCUUCAAAAAACAGAGAAGUAACUUACGAAUAUUUUUUGAAAUAAAUGGAAAAAGAAUAUCUGUAUGCAAAGAUUGUUUUUGUAAGACUUUGGAUGAAAAGGAAAAGUUUAUAAAAGUGGUUUUAAAAAACAAAAUGCAAAGCACUUCUGGCAUUACUGUUGAAGAUCAAAGAGGUAUAACACCUUCCGUAAAUAAAAAAUCUGAACAAGAAUUAAAUGAAGUGCGUACACAUAUUAAAUCGUUCCCUUCUCACGAGAGUCAUUAUACAAGACGUACAAAUGAUAAAAGGUACCUACCAUCGCACCUAAAUCUGCGAAUUAUGUACGAUCUGUACAAAGAAGGAAGGCAAAAUCCCGUGGGAAGAACGAUAUAUGAAAAAGAAUUUCACAAAUUAAAACUAUCGUUUAAAAAGCCAUAUUUUGAUACCUGCUAUAAAUGCGACACUCUUAGUAUGCAAAUACAGGUUGCUUCUAAAUCAGAAAAUAAAGAAGAUGCAGUGCUUUCUAACACCCUUUAUAACUUCUCCAGUUGCAUUCUAUAAACGUCAGCUCUGGACGUAUAAUUUAACAGUGCAUGAUAGCAAUGGAGAAUCGACGCAUUAGAUGUGGCAUGAAGCAUUGGCUGCUCGGGGAGGUAAUGAAAUUGCUUCCUGCUUGUACACUCACAUUAAAAAUUUGCCCAAUGAUGUAAAUAAUAUAACUUUUUACUCCGCCACAUGUGGUGGACAAAAUCGAAACAGUCAUGUCGCUGCUAUGUUUAUAAAGGCUCAAAGUGAUAAUCCCAAUUUAAUGAUAAACCACAAGUUCUUAAUAUCUGGGCAUACACAUAUGGAAUGUGAUGUUGAUCAUUCCAUGAUAGAAAAGCGAAAAAAGAAAAUGGAAGUUCCAGUAUAUCAUCCACAUGAUUGGUACCAGUUGGUGAGAACAACUGGAAGAAAAAGACAAUUUAAAGUCCAUGAAAUGGAGCAAAAUUAAUUCUUGGAUUUUUCCGGGUUAUUAAAAUCAGUAAUGGUCAACAAAAAGAAAAAUAUAUAAGGCGAACAGUUUUAUUGGCAUAAUGUGCAAUGGCUGCAAUAUAAUAAUGGCGGUAUGGUACAAAAGUUCUAUAUCUAUACUAAAGAUUUUAAAAUUAUAAGCUUUCUAAGACAGGGCAAAAGUCAAAACCUAAAAGAUUUGGUAGUUUAAGAACUGUAUACUAAAGGGUUACUUACAAUAUCAAAGGAGAAAAAGAAAGAGUUGUGUUCGCUUCUUUCUUUGGUGUGUUUCACCAAUUUUAUUAAAAUUUACCUACCGAUACUAAAGUUAUUGCUAAUGACCCAGAUCUAGUGGAUGAAGCAGUAGAAGAAGAAGAAAAUUAAAUACUUACUUAGGCUAAAUGAAUCAAUUAGUUUCUAAGGGAAAAAAAGUUAGUUCGUGUUUUUUAAAACAUGUAUUUUGAUAUUAUUUGCCUUAUUAAA
rnacentral:lncRNA from 1 species